rnacentral:rRNA from 1 species
GACGAACGCUGGCGGCGUGCUUAACACAUGCAAGUCGAACGGAAAGGCCCUGCUUUUGUGGGGUGCUCGAGUGGCGAACGGGUGAGUAACACGUGAGUAACCUGCCCUUGACUUUGGGAUAACUUCAGGAAACUGGGGCUAAUACCGGAUAGGAGCUCCUGCUGCAUGGUGGGGGUUGGAAAGUUUCGGCGGUUGGGGAUGGACUCGCGGCUUAUCAGCUUGUUGGUGGGGUAGUGGCUUACCAAGGCUUUGACGGGUAGCCGGCCCGAGAGGGUGACCGGCCACAUUGGGACUGAGAUACGGCCCAGACUCCUACGGGAGGCAGCAGUGGGGAAUAUUGCACAAUGGGCGGAAGCCUGAUGCAGCAACGCCGCGUGCGGGAUGACGGCCUUCGGGUUGUAAACCGCUUUCGCCUGUGACGAAGUGUGAGUGACGGUAAUGGGUAAAGAAGCACCGGCUAACUACGUG